rnacentral:rRNA from 1 species
AGUGGCAGACGGGUGAGUAAUGUAUAGGAAUCUACCUAGUAGUACGGAAUAAUUGUUGGAAACGGCAACUAAUACCGUAUACGCCCUACGGGGGAAAAAUUUAUUGCUAUUAGAUGAGCCUAUAUUAGAUUAGUUAGUUAGUGAGGUAAAGGCUUACCAAGACAAUGAUCUAUAGCUGAUCUGAGAGGAUGAUCAGCCACACUGGAACUGAGAUACGGUCCAGACUCCUACGGGAGGCAGCAGUGGGGAAUAUUGGACAAUGGGCGAAAGCCUGAUCCAGCCAUGCCGCAUGAGUGAAGAANGUCUUCGGGUUGUAAAGCUCUUUUAGUGAGGAAGANAAUGACGGUACUCACAGAANAAGUCCUGGCUAACUCUGUGNCAGCAGCCGCGGUAAUACNGA